rnacentral:lncRNA from 1 species
CAUGAUCUUGAUUUGUGAGGAUUGUAGGAAAGCUUCUAACCAUACCGUUGUGUUGUGUCUGUAGGACGGUGAUAGGGGAGAGGCAAGCAGGGCAUUGUGGGAUACGGGAGGUUGGGAACAUCACAGAAGAAUCACAGAUCACCUUUCAGUACGGACAGGCAGCAGCAAACACCAUUCUGCAGCAGGGUAGGAGUGUUAGUGUUCAGUUGUUGGUGAGGUAUUGUCGUUGGGAUGGACUGAGCAUGCUCAGAGUUCUGACCACCAACCUCCAGACCACCGAUGACAGUUCUCAGGCUGUGUGUGGUCUGGAUCUGUCGGUGCUGAUGGUGAACGCUGGUCAGACGAGUGCAGCUUUGGCCCUCAGGGGCCGAUUCCGAGACGCCCACGCCGAGAGAGACGCUCAGAAACAGCUGAUCCACCGAGCGCUUGAGUACAGACAGAAUGCUGAAGAUGAGCUGAUGUUCAGAGAGUGGAUCAGAACUUCUGACCCCAUCUACAACAACCUGGGCAUAUACACACAGUCUCUCUCAGACGCCGACGCCGCUGUGAUGUACGGCAUGAAGAACGGCUACUACCACACCGAGUCCUACUGCUAACCGCACACCGGCCACUUUAUCAGAAACACCUUCUACCACUGUGGCCACUUUAUUAGAAACACUUUGCUGUAUAAUUAAGGUGUUUUUAAUAAUUUUUGCUCAAUAAAUUAAUGUGUGAAUCUUAAAUGUGUGUCUCA